AUGAUAGGGCUUAUUUGGAAUAUUAGAGGUCUUGGUCAAUCUGGGAAAGUUCAGUGCCUUUGUGAUACUAUUGCUCGAUCUAAUCCUGAUUUUAUUGGGUUUCAAGAGACUAAGAGAGAAAUUAUUUCUGAGGGUUUCCUCAAAGCUAUUGAUAGGACUAAUAAUUUUGACUGGCAUUAUUUACCUGUUGUUAAUACUGCUGGUGGGAUCCUUUUGGGUCUUAGAAAAAGUUUAUUUGAAACCAUUGGUUUUGUUAAUCAUGAGUUUUCUAUUAAAGCCACUGUUAAAAACAAUGAGGAUGGUUUUGUUUGGCACUUGGUGAUAGUAUAUGGCUCUGUGUCCCCAGAGUUUAAAAUGGAUUUUGUUGCUGAACUUCAUGAUAUCUUAGACUCUGCAUCCUAUCCUAUUUUAAUUUGUGGUGACUUCAACCUGGUUAGGAAUGAGAGUGAGAAGAGUAGUGGAUUAGUUAACCAUCAUACCACCUUCCUUUUUAAUGAUUGGAUUAAUAGAUGGGGACUGCUGGAGAUUUCUAUCUCUAAUAGGGGCUAUACUUGGUCCAAUAAUCAAGAUAACCCUAUUUUUCUGUGUUGGACAGAGUUUUUGCCUCUGUGGACUGGGAUUCUCACUUCUCGAUGUCGUCCCUAA
rnacentral:rRNA from 1 species